rnacentral:rRNA from 1 species
UACGGAGGAUCCGAGCGUUAUCCGGAUUUAUUGGGUUUAAAGGGAGCGUAGGUGGAUUGUUAAGUCAGUUGUGAAAGUUUGCGGCUCAACCGUAAAAUUGCAGUUGAAACUGGCAGUCUUGAGUACAGUAGAGGUGGGCGGAAUUCGUGGUGUAGCGGUGAAAUGCUUAGAUAUCACGAAGAACUCCGAUUGCGAAGGCAGCUCACUGGACUGCAACUGACACUGAGGCUCGAAAGUGUGGGUAUUAAACAGG